rnacentral:rRNA from 1 species
GAUGAACGCUGGCGGCGUGCCUAAUACAUGCAAGUCGAGCGAACAGACGAGGAGCUUGCUCCUCUGACGUUAGCGGCGGACGGGUGAGUAACACGUGGAUAACCUACCUAUAAGACUGGGAUAACUUCGGGAAACCGGAGCUAAUACCGGAUAAUAUAUUGAACCGCAUGGUUCAAUAGUGAAAGACGGUUUUGCUGUCACUUAUAGAUGGAUCCGCGCCGCAUUAGCUAGUUGGUAAGGUAACGGCUUACCAAGGCAACGAUGCGUAGCCGACCUGAGAGGGGGUAGGCCCACAGAGGAAGUGAGAGACGGGACAGAAUCGUAGGGGAGGCAACAGUAGGGAACUUUCCGAAAAGGGGGAAAGAUUGAAGGAGGAACGGCGGGUGGAGGAAGAAGGUCUUCGGACGGUAAAACUCUUUUAUGGGGGAAAAAAAAAUGUGUAAGUAACUAUGCACGUGUUGAGGGUACGUAAAAAGAAAGCCCGGGUAAACAAGGU